rnacentral:misc_RNA from 1 species
AAAUACAUAAUUUAUAUACGGGCUUUGGCAAACAAAUGCGAUAUUUAGGACAGUGCUGGUCGGAUGAAAGCGCCUAUCAAUUCAAAUUUUCUUCGUGCUUGAUAAGGAAAUGUUGCAGAUAAGAAUAAUGAAAAAGAAGAAAAAAAAAGAAUAAACAAAAGCAAAAUG